rnacentral:rRNA from 1 species
GUUAGAGGGUUUCCGCCCUUUAGUGCUGAAGUUAACGCAUUAAGCACUCCGCCUGGGGAGUACGGCCGCAAGGCUGAAACUCAAAGGAAUUGACGGGGGCCCGCACAAGCGGUGGAGCAUGUGGUUUAAUUCGAAGCAACGCGAAGAACCUUACCAGGUCUUGACAUCCUCUGACAACCCUAGAGAUAGGGCUUCUCCUUCGGGAGCAGAGUGACAGGUGGUGCAUGGUUGUCGUCAGCU